AGAGUUUGAUCCUGGCUCAGGAUGAACGCUGGCGGCGUGCCUAAUACAUGCAAGUCGAACGCUUUGUUUUUAAUUGAUAUGAAGAGCUUGCCCUGAUUUGAUUUUAUCUGACAAAGAGUGGCGAACGGGUGAGUAACACGUGGGUAACCUACCUCUUAGCAGGAGAUAACAUUUGGAAACAAGUGCUAAUACCGUAUAACACUAACAACCGCAUGGUUGUUAGUUGAAAGAUGGUUCUGCUAUCACUAAGAGAUGGACCCGCGGUGCAUUAGCUAGUUGGUAAGGUAAUGGCUUACCAAGGCGAUGAUGCGUAGCCGAGUUGAGAGACUGAUCGGCCACAAUGGGACUGAGACACGGCCCAUACUCCUACGGGAGGCAGCAGUAGGGAAUCUUCCACAAUGGGCGCAAGCCUGAUGGAGCAACGCCGCGUGUGUGAUGAAGGGUUUCGGCUCGUAAAACACUGUUAUAAGAGAAGAACGACAUUGAGAGUAACUGUUCAGUGUGUGACGGUAUCUUAUCAGAAAGGAACGGCUAAAUACGUGCCAGCAGCCGCGGUAAUACGUAUGUUCCAAGCGUUAUCCGGAUUUAUUGGGCGUAAAGCGAGCGCAGACGGUUAUUUAAGUCUGAAGUGAAAGCCCUCAGCUCAACUGAGGAAGGGCUUUGGAAACUGGAUAACUUGAGUGCAGUAGAGGAAAGUGGAACUCCAUGUGUAGCGGUGAAAUGCGUAGAUAUAUGGAAGAACACCGGUGGCGAAAGCGGCUUUCUGGACUGUAACUGACGUUGAGGCUCGAAAGUGUGGGUAGCAAACAGGAUUAGAUACCCUGGUAGUCCACACCGUAAACGAUGAGUGCUAGAUGUUCGAGGGUUUCCGCCCUUGAGUGUCGCAGCU
rnacentral:rRNA from 1 species